rnacentral:pre_miRNA from 1 species
GCAUUUAAAGUAUUUAAAUCGUUGCAUUAAUAAAAAUGUCCUAAAAUCAAUAAAAAUUGUCUCAUUAAUCAAAAUUCUUGGUCAACUAAAGAAAAAUAAAUAAAUUUAUUGAUUUGAGGACAUUUUCAUUCAUGCGAUGAUUUAAAUACUUUAAAUG